UUUAUUUUAUUAUCGACCUAAGAGGGUGUUUUUUUUUCAACGUUUUAUAAAUGGUGUUACAUGUAUUCAGCAACUCUUAACAUGUGUUUGUUUUAAGACCAAAGACUUCCAGCAAACAAUAUAACUAUUUUUACACUGAUAAAUUACUUAAAUUACUUAAAAAAACAACAACUUGUAAUUUUAGUUGUAGCUUAGCAGUUUCACUGUCGCUAGCCUGAUAAGAUAGAACAGAGAAUUUAGUUUUUGGCUUCAACUAGCAGCCUGCCAACCAGGUCGAGACAUACAUAAUUACUGGUUUAAAAUAUUUAACAUAUUUUAUUGUCGCAGUUAUUAUACUUGUGACGAAGAGUUAAUAAUGAAUUGAUAUGUAACACGGUUAAGCUGUGGCGAGCACAUUUACAGUUUGCACAACCUCUGCUUCUGGGCGUUGUAGUUCAACAGAGCUGUUGGCAGCGGUCGGCAAUGCAAAGCCCGGUGUUUGUAAACUACAAAUUCCCGUGAUGCUCGGCGUGAGCGAGUGUAAGCUGAAACGGACAGUGUCAUUUCAUUCCACCAUAAUACCGCUGACACUACACGUGCUCUGGCUGAAAUUUUAUUCCGCGGAAGUGAUUAAGACGAUACAACGACAAAAUGUUUUUUAAAUGUAUCUUAACAGCACAUGCAUAACCAUUCUAGUGCACUAAUAAUUAUAUUUAAUGUAAGCUAAAGUGAAACUAGCGCUGCUGAGUAGUUGCAAUGAGCAGUGGGUUUUUAGUUGUAGAAGUUGCACAUAUGUUGACAGACGGUGGAACUAAGUUGAAUACGUCGCGUCUUAAAAACAUGACUAAUUGACGGUCGAUCUUUCGAUCAAUACUACUACUACUACUAACAUUACAAAUUACUGCGAUUCAUUAGUAUUAUUUUUAGGUUAGAAUGUAGCAGCAGAAAUAUAAUCAAUUGCGCACAGCUUUUUUACGUAACGUAUUCGAUUUUAUUCUUAGAACUACGUUUCCUUUAGGGUUUUUAAUACAUUUUGAUGAAAUUG